UACGGAGGGGACUAGCGUUGUUCGGAAUUACUGGGCGUAAAGCGCACGUAGGCGGAUUUGUAAGUCAGGGGUGAAAUCCCGGGGCUCAACCUCGGAACUGCCUUUGAUACUGGGGAUCUCGAGUCCGGGAGAGGUGAGUGGAACUGCGAGUGUAGAGGUGAAAUUCGUAGAUAUUCGCAAGAACACCAGUGGCGAAGGCGGCUCACUGGCCCGGAACUGACGCUGAGGUGCGAAAGCGUGGGGAGCAAACAGG
rnacentral:rRNA from 1 species